CGCGAGUCACCUGUCACUCUCGCUCGAGCGCACCUGUUGCAUCGUUCUAGACUUUUUGUCCUCACCGUUGUUUUCUGUUUUGCUUUUACAUUUUUGUCUGCAUCAGCAAGGUCGCUCGGCAACCCAAACCCCGCCGUGUUUGGAGCAAAGUUCACCUCUGAGAGAAACAGAUUGAGAUGGAGCCUUGAAGAAGCGUUUUCCUCUGGAGUUUCUGGAAAAGGGAGGAAUUAUCUGCGAAGUGAAGAAUAGGACCGUAGAUCGUCUCUGUUGAGGGGUGGAUGUCGUAGAAGAUGAAUGCUUUGGGAACCCCAACAAAACCAAGCAAUGGGGUGGCCAGAUCGGACAGCAAGAUCAGUGCCAAAACCCUCUUUGAGCAACGAAAGAAGUACUCAAACUCAAACGUCAUCAUGCAAGAGACGUCGCAGUACCAUGUGCAG